GCAGUUUUCUGGUCAAACACCUGAGGGUGGGUGAUCUGGUCCAGCUGAGUCAUAGUGAGUUGUUCGAAUCUUGAGGUUUCACUGUAAU